AACGGCCGUACCAUGCUGAAUAUACCGGUUCUCGUCACCGAAGUUAAGCAUCAUUGGGCGCGGUCAGUACUUGGGUGGGUGACCACCUGGGAACACUGCGUGCCGUU
rnacentral:rRNA from 1 species